rnacentral:pre_miRNA from 1 species
AGGAGGAACAACCCCAGUGGCAGCCAGCUCUGGAGCCCUGGAUUCAGCUCCCGCAGUAACUCCGGAGCUCUCCGUCUGCAGGGCCUGGAGGCUCCGGUGCGGG